rnacentral:rRNA from 1 species
UACGUAGGGUGCAAGCGUUUAAUCGGAAUUACUGGGCGUAAAGCGUGCGCAGGCGGUUGUGCAAGACAGAUGUGAAAUCCCCGGGCUUAACCUGGGAACUGCAUUUGUGACUGCACGGCUAGAGUGUGUCAGAGGGGGGGUAGAAUUCCACGUGUAGCAGUGAAAUGCGUAGAUAUGUGGAGGAAUACCGAUGGCGAAGGCAGCCCCCUGGGAUAACACUGACGCUCAUGCACGAAGCGUGGG